AUUCCAGUUCCAGUAGCGUAUAUUAAAGUCGUUGCAGUUAAAAAGAUCGUAGUUAGAUUUCUGAGAGUAGCGUUGGCCCGCCCGGGUUACCGGUGUGAGUGCCUGUUCGCUCCUUUCAUCCUUCUAGAGAACGGUUCUCUCCUUCAUGGGCAGUGGGAUCGCAAUCUAGAUGUUUCGAUUCGAAAAGAUAUUAGAGUGUUUAAAGUAAGCUUGUGCUAUGAAUACAUUAGCGUGGAAUAAUAAUUUAGGCCUUUAGUCUGUUUUUUUGGUUUCUAGGACUGACGUACAUGUAAUGAUUGAUAGGGAUAAUUGGGGGUGCUAGUACUCAGCGGCCAGAGGUGAAAUUUUUGGAUUCGCUGGAGACUAACUGAUGCGAAAGAAUUCACCAAGGAUGUCUUCAUUA
rnacentral:rRNA from 1 species